GUGGCCUGUGGUGAGGACCAUGGUGAAACAGGUUGUCCUUGGUGAAACAGCUCAUGAAGUUACACGGAGUAACCAUGGAGCAGGAUUCCAUGCUGCAGCCGUGGAGGAGACCACAGUGGAGCAAGUGGACCUGCACUGAGGGAGGAUGUGGCCUGUGGAGGAACCCAGAGAUUAACAUUUAUCAUGCUGAGAUUCGGGCAGCACAUCAUCAAGCCCUCCGUGGUCUUCCUGAAGACUGAGCUCUCCUUUGCUCUUGUGAACCGCAAGCCGGUGGUCCCAGGCCGUAUCCUUUUGAGCAGUGCCUUGGCCAUGGGUGCCUGUGUUCUGUGGAGACGCUGAGGAAGGUUGGCAUGCUCUGAAGGCCAGGUAGGAUGUUGCGCGGAUUUAUUCUGAAACCAGGCAGUGGAACGUAAUACGCUUGAUUGGUGUUGCAGAACUGCCGAAAAGGGUUGCUUAGCAACUGUGACCUUACAGGUGAAUUUCUAUUGACCUUUUCACCACAGAAAAUGUAUAAACAACAGGUGCUACUAAAAGCAUUUUAAAGUGUAUCUGAGAGGAUACUGUGUAAAUUUCAUAUUAUGCUAAAUAACACAUCCUGCUUCCCUUUUAAUAACGUCACUUAUUUUUAGAUGUGGUAACUUCUUUAUGGAGGAUUUUCAACUUCUUGUAGCUAAAUGUACACAAUUUGUCAAAUGGCAGCAGAAUUCUCUAUGAAGACUAUUAUUUUUUGGGGGGAACAGAUUGCUUUGAUUAAUUUAGGUAGGAAUGGAUUAAAUAAACCAUCUGUAUAGCAAACACUUUCUGAGGAAAAAUGAAUCCCCAUGUUGUAAGCAAAACUUAGUUUUUAGAAAUUUUAAGGAAACUUGAUUGUGCAAGAUGCUAAAUGCAUCUAUUUAGUUUAUUUUAUAAUGUUGUGUAUUAUUUCAUAGUUAGAACUCUGGCGCUAUGUAACUUGUACUGAUUUCAGUGGCUGGAGGUUGAACUUUUCAGAAAUAUUCAAGACUGAUCAUUUUCACAGAGGUUUAUGGUAAAAAUUUUAGUAGGCACUGUUAAGAAAUGGC
rnacentral:lncRNA from 1 species